rnacentral:tRNA from 1 species
GUUUAUAUAAUUUAAAUAAAAUAUUAGACUGUGACUCUAACCAUAAGAGUUAAAAUCUCUCUAUAAAGUGAA